rnacentral:piRNA from 1 species
UGCUGUCUCUGAGACCCCCAUAUGGGCA